rnacentral:tRNA from 2 species
GGGCCGGUAGCUCAGUUGGUUAGAGCGCACCCCUGAUAAGGGUGAGGUCGCAAGUUCGAAUCUUGCUCGGCCCACCA